rnacentral:rRNA from 1 species
AUUGAACGCUGGCGGCAGGCCUAACACAUGCAAGUCGAACGAGUGGCGGACGGGUGAGUAAUGUCUGGGAAACUGCCUGAUGGAGGGGGAACACUACUGGAAACGGUAGCUAAUACCGUAUACUCUGAGAUAUGCCAAGAUGGGAUUAGCUAGUUGGUGGGGUAACGGCACACCAAGGCGACGAUCCCUAGCUGGUCAGAGAGGAUGAACAGCCACACUGGAACUGAGACACGGGCCAGACUCCUACGGGAGGCAGCAGUGGGGAAUAUUGCACAAUGGGCGCAAGCCUGAUGCAGCCAUGCCGCGUGUAUGAAGAAGGCCUUCGGGUUGUAAAGUACUUUCAGCGGGGAGGCGUUACCCGCAGAAGAAGCACCGGCUAACUCCGUGCCAGCAGCCGCGGUAAUUC